GUGAAUCAUCGAAUUUUUGAACGCAAAUUGCACUUUCUGGUAUUCCGGAAAGUAUGCCUGUUUGAGGGUCAGUUAAAUAAAAAUCGGGGUUGUUGCUACCUUUCGUGGUGACGCGUCGGAGUUGAGUUUUCUUACCUUCGGUUAAGUGACUUAAAAUUUUGCAUGAUUGUCGAACGUAUUUAAUUUGCUUACGUACGUUUGAGAUAUCUAAUACUUUAUUAGGUUCGUUCAUCCUCAUGCUUUGCGCCUAUAAUUUUUUCAUUAAAUGACCUUAAAUCAGGUAAAUAUACCCGCCGAA
rnacentral:misc_RNA from 1 species